GGUUUGUAGCGUGAUGGCUAGCGCUCGGGAUUUUGAUUCCCGCAAUCUGGGUUCGAUCCCCAGCUUGACCU
rnacentral:tRNA from 1 species